rnacentral:lncRNA from 1 species
GGUGCGGUAUGCUCCACACAUGCCACUCGUCUUGCGAGGUAUGACAUGCACAUUUCCUGGAGGGUUGAAAACUGGCAUUGUAGGGAGAACAGGGAGUGGUAAAACAACUCUCAUACAAACACUUUUCCGCAUAGUUGAACCUGCAGCGGGUCAGAUUGUAAUUGAUGGUGUCAAUAUCUCAUCAAUUGGACUGCAUGAUUUGAGGUCAAGACUCAGCAUUAUCCCUCAGGAUCCUACCAUGUUUGAGGGGAAUAUACGGAGUAAUUUGGAUCCUCUUGAAGAGUACACAGACGAACAGAUUUGGGUGGUGGGUUCAUUUCAUUUUGAUUACGAGAGAAAAGCUUUUCUAGUCUGUACCAUUUAUUUUCUAAUAAAAUGCUGUGUAUAUGGUUGGUAUUUGAAGUCUGAUAUGUGUUGAUCUACGUUUCGAUUUUUUAAGGCAUUGGAUAAGUGCCAACUUGGGGAUGGAGUUAGAAAGAAGGAAGGCGGGCUAGAUUCUUCAGGUCUGAUCUUCUAUCAUAUAACAUACAAGUCGGAUGUCAUGCAAGUUGUUUAAAAUCUACUACUAAAUUCAACUGUUUAAAGAAAUGUUGAAGUAUUAUAACAUUGCUUCUGCAGUUACCGAGAAUGGAGAGAAUUGGAGCAUGGGACAGAGGCAGCUGGUCUGUCUCGGGCGUGUGCUGCUCAAGAAGAGUAAGAUCCUAGUGCUAGAUGAAGCUACGGCAUCAGUUGAUACAGCUACCGAUAAUCUGAUUCAGACAACCUUAAGGGAGCACUUUUCUGACUGUACAGUCAUAACAAUUGCACACCGGAUCACUUCUGUUCUUGACAGUGAUCUGGUUCUGCUUCUAAGCCACGGUUAGCACGGUUGUGUUAUCUAUCACUUGCUUGUAGGAUCCUUUGAACUUCAUUUCGUUUAAAACUUUUUCUAACUGUCCCAGGACUUGUCGAAGAAUAUGAUUCUCCCGCUAGAUUGCUGGAAAACAAGUCUUCAGCUUUCGCACAGCUUGUAGCCGAGUAUACUGUGAGAUCAAAUUCAAGCCUGGAGAAGUUCGACUGAAUUAGAUGAUCACGAAAAAUAUAUGGUCGGUACUCAUUGGGAAUGUUUUGUACAAGACAAGCCUAGUAGUUUCCUGGGCUUCAAUAAACACUAGUUGUAUAUUUUCCUUUUCUCUCUUCUAUCAGUCUGCCAUUAUUAAGUUACAAAGAAUUUUUAAGACAUAUGUUACGUCAAGAAAAUUAAUGUGAAAAAUUGUCAAAAACACGUGCGAAGAAAAAAAUAUUAUUAAUAUAAAGUCAACAAUUGGGUGGUGGGCCACACGUCCGUUAGUGGGGCCCAUUUCAAAAAGAAAGUGUCCAGAUUAGUAUCCCCCAAGUUUUCGUGGUGUGCAAUGAGGAUACAAGUCGAAGCAAAACUGUGAGGCUUCAGUACGGCGCCGUUUUUAUUGUCGCUUUCCGGUUUUUGGUCAGACUGGCGGGAUUUGAGUCUCCGGUUUGGUUCACCGCCAGGUGUCUGAACAAUGGCGGUUGAUAAGUUCCAACGGUUUUUUGUUAGAGUUUCCCGGGUUUUUGUGGUUCCUACUAACUUACUAUUUCAUGGUUUGAGAAAUAUUUUAAAAUUGUUUUAAAUUUAUUUAUAAUAAAUAAAAAAGACUUUUGAUACCCACAAUUAUUAUUAUUUGAGUUAUCAUCAAAUUAACCAAUGAACAUUAAUUUUUUUUUUAAUGAGAAAAGAGGGACAUUAAGUUUAAAAUAAUAAUAAAAUAAAUUUUUUAUUUAUUUUUAAAAAUUAUUUUUAUUUUAAAUUUUAAAAAAAUCAAAUCUCAUUAUCAUACAUCAAUCAAUAAAUUAAAUACUUAUAUAUUAAUUUUAAAAAUUAUUAAAAUAAUAAAAAAAUAUCUUUUUAAGUAACCGUAAAAUUAGAUUUUGAUAAUCUUUUUUAUAAAUAAAAAAAAUUAAUUCUUGAAUUAAAAAAAGGUUUUUUUUCUUUAUUGGUAAUGCGAGAGUUGUAAAAAUUUCAUUAGAUAAUUUUGCCUAACGAAAAGGUGUUUCUUUUGGCUUUUUUCUUAUUUCCCUCGCUACAGAGUCACUCUCACUCUAUAUUUCUAUUUCAUUGUAUAUCUCUUAUGUUUUGUCUCUCUCUCUCUCAAAGCUCACACCUUUCCCGGAAAGCCUCCAAUUUUUUAAUGUUCUUGGGCUAUCUUUUGAGGCUUAAGCCUCCCUUCUCCUUUGCUCUCUCCGUCUCUCAGGUCUUGGUCUCCACGCAUACCCCUUCCCCAAGUAAUCUUUUUUUGGCUUUCUCCUUUUGAGUCCCGAUAUUGACUUUAACGCUCCUUUUAAGGCUCGUUGAGAUAUAAACUCAAAAACAGGAACUCUCAGACACUUACGCAAGCAAAAUCUUCUCCAACACUGAAAACCCAAGUUUUUUCUUCAGUAAAAAGUCCAAAAAGAAUGAAAUUUUUUGCUUCAGAAUCAUUUUUGCUAAUGAGUUCAGCUUCUAGUUUUGAUUUUCUCCUAAAACCCAUGUUUCUUCAUGGGUGUUCUGCUUCAUUGCACCUAGUUUUAUUGCUUUUCUUGCUGGUCUUAUGGGUAGUGAACAGAGUUAAAGAAGCUGGUGGGGAAGGAUCAAAGGAGAGGUUAAGGCCAACGAAGGUUUUAUGGUAUAAGCAAACUUUAGCUUGUUGUUUUAUUGUUUCGGCUUUCAAUACUGUCUUGUGUUUGUUAAGUUAUUUUUAUUGGUAUAGAAAUGGUUGGUCUGAGGAUAAGUUAGUGACUCUUUCUGAUUAUGUGGUAAAAACACUUGCUUGGGGUACAACGUGUGUUUAUUUGCAUUAUCAGUUCUCCGAUUCUUGUGAACAAAAGAAGUUCCCAUUAUUGUUGAGAAUUUGGUGGGGUUUUUAUUUUUCAAUUUCUUGUUAUUGUCUUGUUAUAGACGUUGUUCUUUACAAAGAACAUGUUUCUUUCCCAAGUCAGUAUUUAGUAUCCGAUGUUUUUUCUGUUGUUACUGGUUUCUUCCUAUGUAUUGUGGGGUUUUUCGGAAGAAAUGAGGGUGAAGAUACCCUCCUUGAGGAGCCCCUUUUGAAUGGAGAUUCUAGUGUAGGUAAUGGUGUAGAGUUGAGUAAGAAAAAAGGAGGUGAUACUGUAACCCCAUAUUCAAAUGCUGGUAUUUUCAGCAUUCUUACAUUUUCUUGGAUGGGGCCUCUCAUUGCUGCUGGCAAUAAAAAACCUUUAGACCUCGAGGAUGUUCCUCAGCUAGAUAGCAGUGAUAGUGUUGUUGGGGCUGUUCAAAAUUUUAUAAACAGGCUUGCCUCAGCUGACAGUGAGGGGAGUGGAGUUACCGUGCUUAAGCUGGUGAAGGCACUACUCUUCUCAGCUUGGAAAGAUAUUCUUUGGACAGCUUUGUUAGCGUUUAUGUACACUGUGGCUUCAUAUGUUGGCCCAUAUCUCAUUGACACUUUUGUUCAGUACCUGAAUGGGCAGCGGGAGUUUAAAAAUGAGGGGUAUCUUCUGGUUAUGGCUUUCUUUGUUGCAAAGCUAGUAGAGUGCUUAUCGCAGAGGCGCUGGUAUUUUAAGUUGCAGCAAAUAGGAAUUAGGCUGAGGGCAGUACUGGUAGCAAUGAUUUAUAACAAGGGUUUAACCCUUUCGUGCCAUUCAAAGCAGAGCCACACCAGUGGGGAGAUCAUCAAUUUCAUGACUGUUGAUGCAGAGAGGGUGGGUGAGUUUUGUUGGUACAUACAUGAUCUAUGGAUAGUAGCUUUGCAAGUUGCUUUGGCCUUGGUGAUCUUGUAUAAAAACCUUGGAUUAGCAUCCAUUGCAGCUUUUGUUGCAACAGUGCUUGUUAUGUUGGCAAAUAUUCCUCUCGGGAAAAUGCAAGAGAAGUGUCAGGACAAGUUGAUGGAAUCUAAAGAUAAAAGGAUGAAGGCAACAUCUGAAAUUUUGAGGAACAUGAGAAUUCUCAAACUUCAAGGGUGGGAAAUGAAGUUUCUGUCAAAGAUUAUUGGGCUCAGGAAUAUUGAGGAAGGAUGGUUAAAAAGAUUUGUUUAUACAAAUGGCAUCACUAGUUUUGUUUUCUAUGUUGCACCCUCAGUUGUGUCUGUAGCCACUUUUGGUGCUUCUAUUCUUUUAGGAGUCCGACUUGAGUCUGGGAAGAUCCUAUCUGCGCUUGCAACGUUCAGGAUUCUUCAAGAGCCAAUCUACAGUCUUCCUGACACAAUUUCAAUGAUAGCUCAGACAAAGGUGUCUCUUGAUAGAAUUGCUUCCUUCCUCCGCCUUGAUGACUUGCAGCCUGAUGUUAUAGAGAAGCUUCCAAAAGGUAGUUCUGAUACUGCAAUUGAGAUUGUUGAUGGGAAUUUUUCUUGGGAUUUCACUUCUGCUACUGCAACGUUAAAAGAUAUAAAUUUGAAAGUUUUCCAUGGUAUGAGGGUUGCUGUUUGUGGUACAGUUGGCUCUGGCAAGUCGAGUUUGCUUUCCUGUAUUUUGGGGGAAUUACCCAAGAUAUCUGGAACUCUUAAAUUGUGUGGUACAAAGGCCUAUGUUGCUCAGUCACCCUGGAUACAAAGUGGCAAGAUUGAAGAGAACAUAUUGUUUGGCAAGGAGAUGGACAGGGAGAGGUAUGACAGAGUGCUUGAAGCUUGUACCCUCAAGAAGGAUCUUGAAAUCCUCUCAUUUGGUGAUCAGACCAUUAUUGGUGAGAGGGGAAUCAAUUUGAGUGGUGGACAGAAACAGAGAAUACAGAUUGCACGUGCUUUAUACCAAGAUGCUGAUAUCUAUCUCUUUGAUGAUCCAUUCAGUGCUGUGGAUGCUCACACAGGAUCUCAUUUAUUUAAGGUAACAUUUUUCUACUCUAAUACUGUGGCAUGUGUUUUUAAAGUUACUUUUAGUCUAUGCAGAAAGGUAUACUGCUCUAUGUGAGGUUAAUUAAUUGAAACGCUAAUAUUUGCAUUUUUGUCAGCUUGUUAUUUGUGCUUUGCCCUUUUAUUUUUGAGCUUUCUUCUUCAGUUAUUGCUUUGCCUGAGUAUCUCUGUUUGAUCUUUGAAUGACAGGAAGUUUUACUUGGCAUUUUGAGUUCAAAAACAGUGAUUUAUGUCACUCAUCAAGUUGAGUUUUUACCAGCUGCUGAUCUAAUCUUGGUAAAGCUAUUUACAUUUUCAGUGAUUUUAAUCCUAUACCUUGGAGGGUAAGCAAUAAUAUAAUUACUGGAUUCAACUUGUACAUUUUUGUUAGGUCAUGAAAGAUGGCAGGAUUACACAAGCUGGAAAGUAUAAUGACAUUCUCAAUUCAGGAACUGACUUUAUGGAACUUGUGGGUGCACAUAAGAAAGCUUUGUCAGCCCUUGAUACUGUUGAUGCAGGAUCUGUUUCUGAAAAAAAUAUCAGUGAGGGAGAUCCUACUACGGGAUGUGCCAAUGGGAACGUGCAGAAAGAAGAUAACCAAGGUAAUGAGAGUGGUAAAGUAGAUGAUGUCAGGCCAAAAGGACAGCUUGUUCAAGAAGAGGAGAGAGAAAAAGGAAAAGUUGGGUUUUCAGUCUACUGGAAGUAUAUCACAACAGCAUACGGAGGAGCUCUUGUGCCUUUAAUAUUGCUUGCACAGAUUGUCUUUCAGAUUUUUCAAAUUGGCAGCAAUUAUUGGAUGGCCUGGGCGUCUCCCGUGUCUGCAGAUGUCAAACCUCCAGUUGGGAGCUUUACACUAAUAAUUGUCUAUUUAGCUUUGGCCAUUGCUAGUGCCUUUUCUGUCCUUGCCAGAGCCAUGCUUCUUCGUACAGCUGGAUACAAAACAGCCACUCUUCUCUUCAAAAAGAUGCAUUUAUGCAUUUUCCGUGCCCCUAUGUCUUUCUUUGAUUCCACACCAAGUGGAAGAAUACUAAACAGAGUUAGUAUCUAAUGUUUUCCUCUAUGGAUUUUAAAUAUUCCAUUUUAAUUUUUUGGGCGGCAUUCCUUCCUUGUUUUUUAAGGAUUCUGUUAUUGUCCUGCCUCUUUUAGGCUUCUACAGAUCAAAGUGCUGUGGAUUUGAACAUUCCGUAUCAAGUUGGUUCAUUCGCCUUUUCAGUUAUCCAGCUCCUUGGAAUCAUCGCAGUCAUGUCUCAGGUUGCUUGGCAGAUCUUUAUCAUUUUUAUCCCUGUGAUUGCUACCUGCAUUUGGUACCAGGUAACCCUUGUCACCUCAUAUAGUAUGCUGUCUGUCGAAUUGUGGCUAUAGAAUGCAUAACCUUAUAAACUUGCAACCAUGAAGCUAUUUAUUGUAAAUCUCAAAGUCAUUUGAAAAAACAUUCCACCUUGCAUAAUACUUGGACAUAGUAAUUCUCAUAAACUUGUAAUCUUGCAGCAAUAUUAUAUAUCUUCUGCACGAGAACUUGCACGAUUGGUUGGAGUAUGCAAAGCUCCAGUGAUACAGCAUUUUGCUGAAACAAUUUUAGGAGCAACAACUAUCAGGAGCUUUGAUCAAGAGUCAAGAUUCCAAGAGACAAGCAUGAAACUAACUGAUGGGUAUUCUCGUCCAAAAUUUCAUGCUGCUGCUGCAAUGGAAUGGCUGUGCUUCCGCAUGGACAUGUUGUCUUCUAUUACUUUUGCUUUCUCUUUGUUCUUUUUGAUCUCUAUACCAGAGGGAGUUAUUGACCCAGGUAAUUGAUUUCAGAUUGGCAUCUUUAUUGACUACAAUGUCAUUGUAGAUAACAGAUGUUAGAGGAGAAUGACUGAAGUUUUUUCUUUUGUUUAGCCAUUGCUGGUUUAGCUGUGACGUAUGGACUCAAUCUAAAUAUGUUGCAAGCUUGGGUAGUUUGGAAUAUUUGCAAUAUGGAGAAUAAAAUUAUAUCUGUUGAGAGACUGCUUCAGUACAGUAGUGUUCCUAGUGAGCCUGCCCUUGUGAUAGAAACUAAUCGCCCGGACCAUUCUUGGCCAUCUCAUGGAGAAGUUAAUAUUCAUGAUCUGCAGGUAAUGCAGUUAUGUGGUGUUUAUGACUCUAAGUUGUUAUGUGUUUUUGAAAUAAAUGAUGAUGUUCGAUGUAGGUGCGGUAUGCUCCACACAUGCCACUCGUCUUGCGAGGUAUGACCUGCACAUUUCCAGGAGGGUUGAAAACUGGCAUUGUAGGUAGAACAGGGAGUGGUAAAACAACUCUCAUACAAACACUUUUCCGCAUAGUUGAACCUGCAGCGGGUCAGAUUGUAAUCGAUGGUGUCAAUAUCUCAACAAUUGGACUGCAUGAUUUGCGGUUAAGACUCAGCAUCAUCCCUCAGGACCCUACUAUGUUUGAAGGGACUAUACGGAGUAAUUUGGAUCCUCUUGAAGAGUACACAGAUGAACAGAUUUGGGAGGUGGGUUCAUUUCAUUUUGUUAUGAGAGAAAAGCAUUUCUAGUCUGUACCAUUUCUUUUCUAAUAAAAUGCAUAGUCUUUAUGAUUGAUAUUUGAAGUCUGAUAUGUGUUGAUGUAUGUUUUGAUUUUCA